rnacentral:rRNA from 1 species
UGGGGAAUUUUGGACAAUGGGCGCAAGCCUGAUCCAGCCAUGCCGCGUGCAGGAUGAAGGCCUUCGGGUUGUAAACUGCUUUUGUACGGAACGAAAAGGUGCCUUCUAAUAAAGGGCGCUCAUGACGGUACCGUAAGAAUAAGCACCGGCUAACUACGUGCCAGCAGCCGCGGUAAUACGUAGGGUGCGAGCGUUAAUCGGAAUUACUGGGCGUAAAGCGUGCGCAGGCGGUUUUGUAAGACAGAGGUGAAAUCCCCGGGCUCAACCUGGGAACUGCCUUUGUGACUGCAAGGCUGGAGUGCGGCAGAGGGGGAUGGAAUUCCGCGUGUAGCAGUGAAAUGCGUAGAUAUGCGGAGGAACACCGACGGCGAAGGCAAUCCCCUGGGCCUGCACUGACGCUCAUGCACGAAAGCGUGGGGAGCAAACA